AGAGUUCGCCGGACAGUCGCUGUCUUGCCUUGGCAGGAGGGAGGAAAGUCCGGGCUCCAUAGAGCAGAGUGCCAGAUAACGUCUGGGCGGUGUAAGCCGACGGCCAGUGCAGCAGAGAGUAGACCGCCUAAGUAUCUUCGGAUAACGGUAAGGGUGAAAGGGUGCGGUAAGAGCGCACCGCGUGGGUGGCAACAUUCCACGGCAUGGUAAACCCCACUCGGAGCAAGACCAAAUAGGGAUCCAUUAGGUGUGGCUCGCAUCGGAUCCGGGUAGGUCGCUUGAGGCGUGCAGUGAUGUACGUCCCAGAUGAAUGACUGUCUAUUACAGAACCCGGCUUAUAGGCGAACUCUAAUC
rnacentral:RNase_P_RNA from 1 species